ensembl:lncRNA
CUGCUCUGCCUCAGUGCCAAAGGAUGGAGGAGUCCAGUCAUAAACUCUGAGGACAGCCCAGCUGGAAUUCUGUGAAAAUAGAUUUUAAGCUGACCGUCACAAAGCCAUUCUGACCUGUACCACAAGUGGGAGCAAGGUUUUUUGUUUUCAUUGACGAUUGACCAGAAAGAAUACAGAUAAGGAGCUGGGGAGUAUUGUUGUCUUCCCUUAAUUGCUUGCCAUUCUCAAGAGAAUGCUGAUUAUCGCUGCUGCAUUGUCAUCUGUCUAAACAAGAUAAUUAACUGUAUGUCAGAACACCCCCUAGAAGACUACGUUAAGGCACCGUUGAGAGCCUGACAGUCUCUACAGUCAGGUAAGCCUCUGUCCCAUGCUAUGUUAACCUGCACUGUUGAAGAGCAAGGCAGUAAUCACAAGAUCA